AUUGCCGGUUGUCUUUUAAAAUGCAGUGAAUUACACGGAUAUAUUUUUUCAUUUUUCCCUAGACAUGGAGACGACCUGAUCGUCACACCUUUUGCACAGGUAAGUUUGAAGUCUGUUGCCUCACAUUAACACAGACUUCGAGAGCCUUAGGUGCAGUCAUAUAAAAUCUCUGUUUUUGUUUACUGUAGGUCCUGGCAAGUUUACGAAGUGUGAGAAACAACUUUACAUUGCUUACCAAUUUGCACGGCACAUCGAACAAGCCUUGGUUGCCCUUGAUAACUGCUGCGCUCUGGUCCCGGACCUGCGGUGGAAAUGCGUGUGCGGAGACCCCAGGCUCCUGGGGACGGGCGCCGUGCCGCGGCGCGUCGGCAUCGCUGCGGACGCAGCUCGAAGCCCACUCAGAUAGCUGCGGAGGCGCUGCUUCCUCCUGCGCGUGGUUAGCAUGUGAGUGUAUGUGUGCAUGAGUGUGUGCAUGAGUGUAAGUGCAUGUGAGUGCGUGUGUGCAUGUGAGUGUAUGUGUGCAUGAGUGUGUGCAUGAGUGUAAGUGCAUGUGAGUGCGUGUGUGCAUGUGAGUGUAUGUGUGCAUGAGUGUGUGCAUGAGUGUAAGUGCAUGUGAGUGCGUGUGUGCAUGUGAGUGUAUGUGUGCAUGAGUGUGUGCAUGAGUGUAAGUGCAUGUGAGUGCGUGUGUGCAUGUGAGUGUAUGUGUGCAUGAGUGUGUGCAUGAGUGUAAGUGCAUGUGAGUGCGUGUGUGCAUGUGAGUGUAUGUGUGCAUGAGUGUGUGCAUGAGUGUAAGUGCAUGUGAGUGCGUGUGUGCAUGUGAGUGUAUGUGUGCAUGAGUGUGUGCAUGAGUGUAAGUGCAUGUGAGUGCGUGUGUGCAUGUGAGUGUAUGUGUGCAUGAGUGUGUGCAUGAGUGUAAGUGCAUGUGAGUGCGUGUGUGCAUGUGAGUGUAUGUGUGCAUGAGUGUGUGCAUGAGUGUAAGUGCAUGUGAGUGCGUGUGUGCAUGUGAGUGUAUGUGUGCAUGAGUGUGUGCAUGAGUGUAAGUGCAUGUGAGUGCGUGUGUGCAUGUGAGUGUAUGUGUGCAUGAGUGUGUGCAUGAGUGUAAGUGCAUGUGAGUGCGUGUGUGCAUGUGAGUGUAUGUGUGCAUGAGUGUGUGCAUGAGUGUAAGUGCAUGUGAGUGCGUGUGUGCAUGUGAGUGUAUGUGUGCAUGAGUGUGUGCAUGAGUGUAAGUGCAUGUGAGUGCGUGUGUGCAUGUGAGUGUAUGUGUGCAUGAGUGUGUGCAUGAGUGUAAGUGCAUGUGAGUGCGUGUGUGCAUGUGAGUGUAUGUGUGCAUGAGUGUGUGCAUGAGUGUAAGUGCAUGUGAGUGCGUGUGUGCAUGUGAGUGUAUGUGUGCAUGAGUGUGUGCAUGA
ensembl:lncRNA